rnacentral:rRNA from 1 species
UACGUAGGGUGCAAGCGUUGUCCGGAAUUAUUGGGCGUAAAGAGCUCGUAGGCGGUUUGUCGCGUCGGCUGUGAAAACCUGGGGCCCAACCCCGGGCCUGCAGCCGAUACGGGCAAACUAGAAUUCGGUGAGGGGAGACUGGAAUUCCUGGUGUAGCGGUGAAAUGCGCAGAUAUCAGGAGGAACACCGGUGGCGAAGGCGGGUCUCUGGGCCGAUAUUGACGCUGAGGAGCGAAAGCGUGGGGAGCAAACAGG